GGGGAUCUAGCUCAGCGGCAUAAGCGCCUGCCUUGCAAGCAGGCAGUCGAUCCCCAGUGAGUUCGAUCCCCA
rnacentral:tRNA from 1 species